AGAGUUUGAUCAUGGCUCAGAGCGAACGCUGGCGGCAGGCUUAACACAUGCAAGUCGAGCGGGCAUAGCAAUAUGUCAGCGGCAGACGGGUGAGUAACGCGUGGGAACGUACCUUUGGUUCAGAACAACACAGGGAAACUUGUGCUAAUACCGGAUAAGCCCUUACGGGGAAAGAUUUAUCGCCGAAAGAUCGGCCGCGUCUGAUUAGCUAGUUGGUGAGGUAAUGGGCUCACCAAGGCGACGAUCAGUAGCUGGUCUGAGAGGAUGAUCAGCCACAUUGGGACUGAGACACGGCCCAAACUCCUACGGGAGGCAGCAGUGGGGAAUAUUGGACAAUGGGCGCAAGCCUGAUCCAGCCAUGCCGCGUGAGUGAUGAAGGUCCUAGGGUUGUAAAGCUCUUUUGUGCGGGAAGAUAAUGACGGUACCGCAAGAAUAAGCCCCGGCUAACUUCGUG
rnacentral:rRNA from 1 species